rnacentral:rRNA from 1 species
CCCAGACUCCUACGGGAGGCAGCAGUGGGGAAUAUUGCACAAUGGGGGAAACCCUGAUGCAGCGACGCCGCGUGAGCGAAGAAGUAUUUCGGUAUGUAAAGCUCCAUCAGCAGGGAAGAAAAAAAUGACGGUACCUGAGUAAGAAGCACCGGCUAAAUACGUGCCAGCAGCCGCGGUAAUACGUAUGGUGCAAGCGUUAUCCGGAUUUACUGGGUGUAAAGGGAGCGUAGGCGGCGCGUUAAGUCUGAUGUGAAAACCCGAGGCUCAACCACGGGAGUGCAUUGGAAACUGGCGGGCUGGAGUGCCGGAGAGGUAAGCGGAAUUCCUAGUGCAGCGGUGAAAUGCGUAGAUAUUAGGAGGAACACCAGUGGCGAAGGCGGCUUACUGGACGGCAACUGACGCUGAGGCUCGAAAGCGUGGGGAGCAAACAGGAUUAGAUACCCUUGUAUUC